AUGUACAUUCCCACAAUGGUAAUGCAUCAUAUCCCAUCAAAACUCUACAGUUAAGUGCGCUUGGGCUAGAGUAGUACUGGAAUGGGUGAUCUCCGAGGAAGUCUUAGUGUUUUACAUG
rnacentral:rRNA from 1 species